AUAUUUACCUGGCAGGGGAGAUACCAUGAUCAUGAAGGAGGUUUUCCCAGAGCGAGGCUCAUCCAUUGCACUUCGGAAGUGCUGAUCCCUGUGAUUUCCCCAAAUGUGGGAAAUUCAACUGCAUAAUUUGUGGUAGUGGGGGACUGAAUUUGCGCAGUCCCCUG
ensembl:snRNA U1 U1 spliceosomal RNA